rnacentral:lncRNA from 1 species
UUUUUAGGCAGCCUUGUCAUUGGGGGUCAUCUCCCAAAGCAUUUAAGCUGCAACUCCCAUUGCAGAGAGACAUGGAAGAACAGGACCUAUUUCUAAGCAUGGGUCUUCUACUAAGUUAGAUUCUGUAGGACCUACCCCUGAAUUUAGUAAUGCUCUAGAAAUCUAUUCUGUCUAAACUAUCAUGGUUCCCAGCAAAACAAUACAUAUAUAUAUAUAUAUAUACGUAUGCCAAGUCCAGUUUUUAUCCCAAUGAUUUUUUUUUUUUUAAUAGAUACGAGGUCUUGCUAUGUUGCUCAGGCUGGUCUUGAAGUGCUGGGUUCAAGCGAUCCUCCGGCAUUGCCCUCCAAACCAAUGAACUCUGUGGUAUUUCACACGGCUAACUUCCCUGUCAGUAUUCACUUAAUCCCUCUCUUCAGCUUCUUCAACCCUAUAACCUUAUCUGUUUAGCCAUUCUUUCUCAACUUACUUCAUAGGUUUCUAUUCUUCUACUUGACCCUCAGAUGUAGAUGCUCUUCAAGGUUGCCCUUAGUUUUUUUUCUUCACUCCUGAUAUGGUUAAGCAUUCCUAAUCCAAAAGUUUAAAAUCUGAAAUGCUCCAAAAUCUGAAACUUUCUGAGUGUUGACAUGAUGCCACAAGUGGAAAAUUCCACACCUGACCUCAGGUGACAUGUUGCAGUCAGAAUGGAAUCAAAACUUUGUUUCCUGCACAAAAUUAUUUAAAAUAUUGUAUAAAACUGCAUCCAGGUUGUAAGAUGUAUAUGAAACACAAAUGAAUUUCAAGUUUAGACUUGGGCCCUAUCUCCAGGGUAUCUCAUUAUAUGCAUACCAACAUUACAAAGUCAAAAAAAACUCCAAAACAUUUCUGGUCCUAAGCAUUUUGGAUAAAGGAUACUCAAUCUGUACUAUUUUCUCUUUCUUUUUUAUAGACAGGGUCUUACACUGACACCCAAGCUGGAGUGCAGUGGCCCUAUCAUAGCUUGCUACAGCCUCAAACUCCUGGGCUCAAGUCAUACUCCAGCCUCAGCCUCCCGAGUAGCUGAGACCACAGGUGGCUACCACUAUACCUGACAAAUUUUUUAAAUUUUUGUAGAAACAGGGUCUCACAACGUUGCCCAGACUGGUUUUGAACUCCUGGCCUUAAGUGAUCCUCUGCCUUGGCCUCCUAAAGUGUUAGGAUUACAGGUGUGAGGCACCAUGCCUGGCUUUCUGCAGUUUCUAUAUGGCAUUAUACUGAUGAAUGCAAAUCCCCUAAUUUAUCCCAAUGUCCCCUUGAGCUCCAGCCCAAAUACCCAGGUACUUACUUGACCUUUCUUGAUUCCCAGAUAUCUUAACACAUCUGGAGUCAUACUCUAUUACCUUCCUCCUCAAAUUCUGUUCUUCCUAUACAUUCCCUAUCUUAAAGGCAUCAUCAUCACCCAAUAACCACACUAUAAUCUUUAACUCUUUACUCAAUUGUCACUCAAAUCUGACAACUGUGAAGUAAAAAUUAUCCCCAGAAUCGAUGUCCUUUUACAUCACAAUUCAAUACUCUCACAAGUCUCUAGUCAAAUCUUUACAUGUCAUCUUUUUAAAAACCAUAGUGGAUGUCCUACUCAAACCUCUUAUGGUCCCUAAAUGCCUAUAGAAUAAAGUUCACACUCAUGAGCAUGGAAUUACAAACUCUUCCCAAUAUGGCCACAACCUUAUCAGUUUCACUUUCCACUAUUCUCCAAGUCGAGCAAAAUCCACUUGCUAGUUCUCAAAUCAGACUACUGAUGCCCUUCCUCUCAGCCCCUCUUCUCCAUCAGUAAUGCAGCUACUCCCCCUUCCAAGUCCUACUCAAACUUCCCCUAUGUGAAAAGUCUUCCCUAACCUCACUUUUCUCUGUGUAUCAUUCUCCUCUCCCUAGAAGGAAUUUCUCCCUCCUCCUAUAAUCCCACACCACUCUUUGUUUGCUCUAUUUUGGUUCUCUAGAAGUUGUAACAUAGCUAGUUGAGCCCAUACCUUUCUGCUCUACACGACAAGGCCCAAGAUUUGUUACUCUAGCACCUAGUACAUGCCCAGAAUGUGGUAUAUCUUUAAUCAUCGUCAGGUGAAUGAAUGAGUGGCAAAACUCCAAAGUGAGAAUACACUUAAGGAGGUUAUUUCUUAAUGGAGAGAAUGCUUCACUCUCCUUUGAACAUAAAACAAGAAUCAGGUCCCCUAGUCCCCAACUCCCCAUUUCUAGUCCACUGCGCAAACAGUUUUAAGCAAUGUUUCAUUGGGACAUUUCCUCAUUUCCCCUUGUUCUUUGUAGGUUUAGCUGCCAGCCUAACCACAUUAGCAUUCAGUAGCAGCAACAAAACGGACUCUUAAAGUUCUAAAAAGCAAAAACUUUACAAUUACCAACAGUAAAAUACAUGCUCUUUUUAAAAAAAACUGUCUUAAUAUAUAUGCAUACAAAGCUCAUUCUUCAUGAAGAUUCAGAAAAUGGCUUGGCAUAGUUUAUCCCAACAGGCACCACUUAAAGAGUUCUUAAGAAAAUGUCCACUUAAGCCAUCAGCCAAACUUUUCACAUUUGUUACCACAGAAAUCAGCAUGCAUGAAUUAAUCGAAAUACAAUGCAUAUUAAACAAUGCAAUUACUAUAGUCUAAAUCACCAAACUGAUAACCCAUACAAAAGUAGCUCUUACAACUUUUUUUGAGAAUAUUUCCCCUAAAAAAUUCCAGUGAUCAUCCCAACCUACAAAACUAGAUUAUUUUACUAGUAUCAUCUUCUCUUUACCCCUCUUCUCCCCACCAACACUCCCUCCAACACACACACACUUCUCCUUAAGAGAAACGGCUUCCUCAAGAAAUUAUCUGAUGGUUCAGUAGCAGUUGGAGUUUUACACAAACUAUGUUGUGAUUGGGCAAGGCAGACUACCAGAUCUGGGAUUCAGUAGACCAUUCCUUACUGUCAGAUUAUCUUCUAAGUGACUGCUCUUAGAGAAACAACACAGAUUUGCCUCAAGAGAUUACAAAUGUGGUAGGCCUACCUUAACAGCAACUAGUUUUUUUUAAGAAACACGGUCGCACUGUCGCCCAGGCAGGAACACAAUGGCAUGAUUAUGCUCACUGCAACCUCAAACUCCUAAGUUCAAGUGAUCCUCCUGCCUCAGCCUCCUGAAUAGCUCAAACUAUAGGCAUAUGCCACCAUACCCAGCUAGUUUUUCGUUUUUUUGUUUUUUUAAAUAUUCUGUAAAGACAGGAUGUCACUACAUUGCCCAGGCUGGUCUAGAAUUCCUAGCCUCAAGCAAUCUUCCUGCCUUGGCCUCCCAAAGUGCUGGGAUUAUAGGCAUGAACCACCAUAACCAGCCAUUGUUUUCUAAUAUACUAGAACAUCUCUGUAAAGUUUUAUUUCUAGCCCUUCUUUGGGUCAUAGAAAGUUUACUUGGUAUCACAUAAAUGUUCACAUUUUAAAAC